rnacentral:rRNA from 1 species
UGAAGCCCAGCUUGCUGGGUGGAUCAGUGGCGAACGGGUGAGUAACACGUGAGCAACCUGCCCUCCACUUCGGGAUAAGCCUUGGAAACGGGGUCUAAUACCGGAUAUGAGCACUCAUCGCAUGGUGGGUGUUGGAAAGUUUUUCGGUGGGGGAUGGGCUCGCGGCCUAUCAGCUUGUUGGUGGGGUGAUGGCCUACCAAGGCGUCGACGGGUAGCCGGCCUGAGAGGGCGACCGGCCACACUGGGACUGAGACACGGCCCAGACUCCUACGGGAGGCAGCAGUGGGGAAUAUUGCACAAUGGGCGCAAGCCUGAUGCAGCGACGCCGCGUGAGGGAUGACGGCCUUCGGGUUGUAAACCUCUUUCAGCAGGGAAGAAGCGCAAGUGACGGUACCUGCAGAAGAAGCGCCGGCUAACUACGUGCCAGCAGCCGCGGUAAUACGUAGGGCGCAAGCGUUGUCCGGAAUUAUUGGGCGUAAAGAGCUCGUAGGCGGUCUGUCGCGUCUGGUGUGAAAUCCCGAGGCUCAACCUCGGGCUUGCAUCGGGUACGGGCAGACUAGAGUGCGGUAGGGGAGACUGGAAUUCCUGGUGUAGCGGUGGAAUGCGCAGAUAUCAGGAGGAACACCGAUGGCGAAGGCAGGUCUCUGGGCCGCAACUGACGCUGAGGAGCGAAAGCAUGGGGAGCGAACAGGAUUAGAUACCCUGGUAGUCCAUGCCGUAAACGUUGGGCACUAGGUGUGGGGCUCAUU